GACGAACGCUGGCGGCGUGCUUAACACAUGCAAGUCGAACGGUGAAGCUCCAGCUUGCUGGAGUGGAUCAGUGGUGAACGGGUGAGUAACACGUGAGCAACCUGCCCCUGACUCUGGAAUAAGCGCUGGAAACGGCGUCUAAUACUGGAUACGAGAAGGGUCCGCAUGGGCACUUUCUGGAAAGUUUUUCGGUUGGGGAUGGGCUCGCGGCCUAUCAGCUUGUUGGUGAGGUAAUGGCUCACCAAGGCGACGACGGGUAGCCGGCCUGAGAGGGCGACCGGCCACACUGGGACUGAGACACGGCCCAGACUCCUACGGGAGGCAGCAGUGGGGAAUAUUGCACAAUGGGCGAAAGCCUGAUGCAGCGACGCCGCGUGAGGGAUGACGGCCUUCGGGUUGUAAACCUCUUUCAGCAGGGAAGAAGCGAAAGUGACGGUACCUGCAGAAGAAGCACCGGCUACUACGUG
rnacentral:rRNA from 1 species